rnacentral:rRNA from 1 species
CAGUAGCCGCGGUAAUACGUAGGGUGCGAGCGUUAAUCGGAAUUACUGGGCGUAAAGCGUGCGCAGGCGGUUGUGUAAGACAGGUGUGAAAUCCCCGGGCUUAACCUGGGAACUGCGCUUGUGACUGCACAGCUAGAGUAUGGCAGAGGGGGGUGGAAUUCCACGUGUAGCAGUGAAAUGCGUAGAGAUGUGGAGGGACACCGAUGGCGAAGGCAGCCCCCUGGGCCAAUACUGACGCUCAUGCACGAAAGCGUGGGGAGCAAACAGGAUUAGAUACCCCUGUAGUCCCUGUCUCUUAUAC